UACGAAGGGGGCUAGCGUUGUUCGGAUUGACUGGGCGUAAAGGGCGCGUAGGCGGUUCGUACAGUCAGACGUGAAAUUCCUGGGCUCAACCUGGGGGCUGCGUUUGAUACGUGCGGACUUGAGUGCGGAAGAGGGUCGUGGAAUUCCCAGUGUAGAGGUGAAAUUCGUAGAUAUUGGGAAGAACACCGGUGGCGAAGGCGGCGACCUGGUCCGAUACUGACGCUGAGGCGCGAAAGCGUGGGGAGCAAACAGG
rnacentral:rRNA from 1 species